rnacentral:rRNA from 1 species
GGAUAGUGCUUGCACAUCGCUGACGAGUGGCGGACGGGUGAGUAAUGCUUGGGAACUUGCCUUUGCGAGGGGGAUAACAGUUGGAAACGACUGCUAAUACCGCAUAACGUCUACGGACCAAACGGGGCUUAGGCUCCGGCGCAGAGAGAGGCCCAAGUGAGAUUAGCUAGUUGGUGAGGUAAAGGCUCACCAAGGCGACGAUCUCUAGCUGUUCUGAGAGGAAGAUCAGCCACACUGGGACUGAGACACGGCCCAGACUCCUACGGGAGGCAGCAGUGGGGAAUAUUGCACAAUGGGGGAAACCCUGAUGCAGCCAUGCCGCGUGUGUGAAGAAGGCCUUCGGGUUGUAAAGCACUUUCAGUUGUGAGGAAAAGUGAGUAGUUAAUACCUGCUCACCGUGACGUUAGCAACAGAAGAAGCACCGGCUAACUCCGUGCCAGC